rnacentral:rRNA from 1 species
GGGUGAAAAGCCCGCUCGCCGGAAGACCAAGGGUUCCUGUCCAACGUUAAUCGGGGCAGGGUGAGUCGACCCCUAAGGCGAGGCCGAAAGGCGUAGUCGAUGGGAAACAGGUUAAUAUUCCUGUACUUGGUGUUACUGCGAAGGGGGGACGGAGAAGGCUAUGUUGGCCGGGCGACGGUUGUCCCGGUUUAAGCGUGUAGGCUGGUUUUCCAGGCAAAUCCGGAAAAUCAAGGCUGAGGCGUGAUGACGAGGCACUACGGUGCUGAAGCAACAAAUGCCCUGCUUCCAGGAAAAGCCUCUAAGCAUCAGGUAACAUCAAAUCGUACCCCAAACCGACACAGGUGGUCAGGUAGAGAAUACCAAGGCGCUUGAGAGAACUCGGGUGAAGGAACUAGGCAAAAUGGUGCCGUAACUUCGGGAGAAGGCACGCUGAUAUGUAGGUGAAGCGACUUGCUCGUGGAGCUGAAAUCAGUCGAAGAUACCAGCUGGCUGCAACUGUUUAUUAAAAACACAGCACUGUGCAAACACGAAAGUGGACGUAUACGGUGUGACGCCUGCCCGGUGCCGGAAGGUUAAUUGAUGGGGUCAGCGCAAGCGAAGCUCUUGAUCGAAGCCCCGGUAAACGGCGGCCGUAACUAUAACGGUCCUAAGGUAGCGAAAUUCCUUGUCGGGUAAGUUCCGACCUGCACGAAUGGCGUAAUGAUGGCCAGGCUGUCUCCACCCGAGACUCAGUGAAAUUGAACUCGCUGUGAAGAUGCAGUGUACCCGCGGCAAGACGGAAAGACCCCGUGAACCUUUACUAUAGCUUGACACUGAACAUUGAGCCUUGAUGUGUAGGAUAGGUGGGAGGCUUUGAAGUGUGGACGCCAGUCUGCAUGGAGCCGACCUUGAAAUACCACCCUUUAAUGUUUGAUGUUCUAACGUGGACCCGUAAUCCGGGUUGCGGACAGUGUCUGGUGGGUAGUUUGACUGGGGCGGUCUCCUCCUAAAGAGUAACGGAGGAGCACGAAGGUUGGCUAAUCCUGGUCGGACAUCAGGAGGUUAGUGCAAUGGCAUAAGCCAGCUUGACUGCGAGCGUGACGGCGCGAGCAGGUGCGAAAGCAGGUCAUAGUGAUCCGGUGGUUCUGAAUGGAAGGGCCAUCGCUCAACGGAUAAAAGGUACUCCGGGGAUAACAGGCUGAUACCGCCCAAGAGUUCAUAUCGACGGCGGUGUUUGGCACCUCGAUGUCGGCUCAUCACAUCCUGGGGCUGAAGUAGGUCCCAAGGGUAUGGCUGUUCGCCAUUUAAAGUGGUACGCGAGCUGGGUUUAGAACGUCGUGAGACAGUUCGGUCCCUAUCUGCCGUGGGCGCUGGAGAACUGAGGGGGGCUGCUCCUAGUACGAGAGGACCGGAGUGGACGCAUCACUGGUGUUCGGGUUGUCAUGCCAAUGGCACUGCCCGGUAGCUAAAUGCGGAAGAGAUAAGUGCUGAAAGCAUCUAAGCACGAAACUUGCCCCGAGAUGAGUUCUCCCUGACCCUUUAAGGGUCCUGAAGGAACGUUGAAGACGACGACGUUGAUAGGCCGGGUGUGUAAGCGCAGCGAUGCGUUGAGCUAACCGGUACUAAUGAACCGUGAGGCUUAACCUU